GUGAGGAAUAUUGGUCAAUGGGCGAGAGCCUGAACCAGCCAAGUAGCGUGAGGGAUGACUGCCCUAUGGGUUGUAAACCUCUUUUGCAGGGGGGUAAAGUGGUCCACGUGUGGAUCAUUGCAAGUACCCUGCGAAUAAGGAUCGGCUAACUCCGUGCCAGCAGCCGCGGUAAUACGGAGGAUCCGAGCGUUAUCCGGAUUUAUUGGGUUUAAAGGGAGCGUAGGCGGGGGUUUAAGUCAGCUGUGAAAUGCCGUGGCCCAACCAUGGAACUGCAGUUGAAACUGGACCUCUUGAGAGUACAUAAGGAAGGCGGAAUUCGUGGUGUAGCUGUGAAAUGCAUAGAGAUCGGGAGGAACACCAGUGGCGAAGGCGACUUACUGGACUGUAACUGACGCUGAGGCGCGAAAGUGUGGGGAGCAAACAGGAUUAGAAACCCGGGUAGUCC
rnacentral:rRNA from 1 species